GGGGGCGUAGCUCAGUGGCAGAGCAGGGGACUCUUAAUCCCUUGGUCGCGGGUUCGAGUCCCGCCGCCCUCA
rnacentral:tRNA from 1 species